rnacentral:misc_RNA from 1 species
AGCAGCCGCGGUAAUUCCAGCUCCAAUAGCGUAUAUUAAAGUUGUUGCAGUUAAAAGCUCGUAGUUGAACUUCGGGGUUUACUCAUUGGUCAGGCUUAAUUGUCUGUACUGGUGAGAUAAAUCUCUACCUUCUGAGGAACUUUCAUGCCAUUUAUUUGGUGUGAUUGGAAAUCAGGACUGUUACUUUGAAAAAUUAGAGUGUUUAAAGCAGGCUAACGUCUGAAUACAUUAGCAUGGAAUAAUGAAAUAGGACGGAUUGAUUCUAUUUCGUUGGUUUCUAGGGUCACCGUAAUGAUUAAUAGGGAUAGUAGGGGGCAUUAGUAUUCAAUUGUCAGAGGUGAAAUUCUUGGAUUCAUUGAAGACUAACUACUGCGAAAGCAUUUGCCAAGGAUGUUUUCAUUAAUCAAGAACGAAAGUUAGGGGAUACGAAGACGAUCAGAUACCGUCGUAGUCUUAACCAUAAACUAUGACCGACUAGGGAUCGGAUGAUAGUUAAUUUUUUAAUGUACUUCUAUUCGGU